rnacentral:rRNA from 1 species
CCUACGGGUGGCAGCAGUAGGGAAUCUUCCACAAUGGGGGAAAGCCUGAUGCAGCAACGCCGCGUGGUUGAUGAAGGUCUUCGGAUCGUAAACCCCUUUUGUUAGAGAAGAUAGUGACGGAGUCUAACUAAUAAGCAUUGGCUAACUCCGUGCCAGCAGCCGCGGUAAUACGGAGGGGGCAAGCGUUAUGCGGAAUCACUGGGCGUAAGGGGCACGGAGGCGGGCUAGCAAGUCUGAUGUGAAGUCCUUUGGCUUAACCAUAGGAGUGCAUUUGAAACUGGUAGUCUAGAGUGUAGAAGAGGAGGGUGGAAUUCUAGGUGUAGGGGUGAAAUCCGUAGAGAUAAGGAGGAAUACUCGUGGCGAAAGCGACCUGCUAGAAUAUAACUGACGCUGAUGCGCGAAAGCGUGGGUAGCAAACAGGAUUAGAUACCCGUGUAGUC